CUGUCCAUUGUUCCGCGAGGAGAAAUCGUUGCUACUGAGAUCCGGAAUCAUGAAGGGCCCUCUCUGUUUUAGAGACGGUCGCCCGCGGCUCCGCCCUGCAGUUGCUUCCUGAAAGAUUUCCGGGGUACUGAGGGAAGGAGGGUUCAUAGCCUAGCAGAAAGAUGAAAGCUUAACACGUCACCAACUGUUGACCUCCACCUUGAUGACUUCACCUUGGAGUGCCUGCCCAGUUCAGUUCCCACAGCCCUCAAUCAGUGGCCUCUCACAGAUCACCAAGAGCCUGUUUAUCAGCAAUGGCGCGGCUGCCAACGACAAGCUCCUACUGUCCAGCAAUCAGAUCACCACGGUGAUCAAUGUCUCAGUAGAGGUAGCGAACACCUUCUAUGAGGACAUCCAGUACGUGCAGGUGCCUGUGGUGGAUGCGCCCAUCGCGCGCCUCUCCGAUUUCUUCGACCCCAUUGCUGACCACAUCCAUUCGGUGGAGAUGAAGCAGGGCCGCACGCUGCUGCAUUGCGCUGCUGGCGUGAGCCGCUCGGCCGCCCUGUGCCUCGCGUACCUCAUGAAGUACCAUGCCAUGUCCCUCCUAGAUGCCCACGCUUGGACCAAAUCACGCAGGCCCAUCAUCCGGCCCAACAGUGGCUUUUGGGAGCAGCUCAUCCAUUAUGAGUUCCAGUUGUUUGGCAAGAAUACGAUGCAGAUGGUUAACUCUCCCAUGGGACUGAUCCCCGACAUCUACGAGAAGGAGACCCGUAUGAUGAUUCCACUGAGUACACCAGAUGGUGCUUUUCAUAAGGGCAAGGAAAAAGCGUUGCUAUGACAUUUACCCUCGUAAUCCAGCCAGGUUUGGUGGUACAUGCCUGUAGCCUCAGAUUGCUGAAGCAGGAAGAUGACAAGAGUGCUGGAAUUACUGGUGAGCGCCGCCUGCCAGGGUGAGGGACACAUCAGGUUCUUCAGGUUACAUUUUGCCCUGGGCCAUCUGAUUCAGCUCCUUCAGUAUUUCCUCCACCUGGGCUUAAACUGAAGGUCUAAUUACUCAACAAAGUGGACUGGCCACCCGCUCAGCAGACAGAAUCUGACGUGGUAGCCCCAGCUGGCUUUGAACUCAUCACUCUCCCAGGAUGCCAGGGUUGCGGACAUCACACCUGCCUCAAAGGUACUUUCAUGUCAACAUCUGAACACACUCAGCCUCUGCUACACACAAAGAGCAGUGACCUCUUGGCCUAUCCCCACAUUGCCCCUUCCCUAGCUGUGUAACAGUCACCUCUCUGCCUCAGUCUCCUUGUGGAGGGGGCUGGGAGAGCCUUACACUCCGUGUACAACUCUCAGCACUGAGGCUGACGCCAUCCUCUGAAUCUGAGGACUGAUGGGGAGUCUGCCACAGCCUGUGUCACAUCCAAGGAUGUCCUCUGCUAUUUUGUCACCAGCACUGUGGCUGGAGAGCUCCCUUGGCAGCCUUAUCAAGCCCCCCACCACACCUGUGCCCACCUUGCACUCGAUACAACUUCUGCCUUGCUAAGUACAGCGCUCCACUCUCUGGGGACUCAAAGGAAGUUCUGAAACACAGGUGGCUACAGAAGACAACAGGCUCGGCUGCUGGCCGGCACCUCAUUUGCUUGCCUCUCUGGGUCUGAGGGCGACACCAUACAGACGAUUCCGUCCAUCCCCCUGUAUCUGCAGCCAGCCCAAGUAGAAAAAAAGAGGCUGUCUAGGGCUGCCUGAGCUCUCUUUCUGGACUCCUACCGAUUGCUCUCAGACCUUUCAGGAAAGGAGCAAGCUAGCACCGGUACACAAUGUGGCUGGCCCAAGAGCCCUUAGCAAAACAGACUUCCUCUUUUUAGAAACCCAUUCCUAAUCCUGGAUCCAGUCACUCUCCUCAUCUCUGCUAGGCUCCCAUUUGAUAGGGGAACCUCCAGCUCUCUAAGGGCUCUUUACUAACCUGACGUCAACUGGCAUCAAAACCAUCAAUUAAAGACAUCAUCUGAAUUUCUUCCCUACACCAGGCCCCAGGCUGGGGGCUGAGGACACAGAGAUGACCCAGCACACAGCCUGUGAACCAAAUGGCCCACAGCUGUCGAAGUAAAGGACACCCAAUGUGCACUCAGUGUAAGAAGUUGAGUCUUGGGGGCUGGAGAGAUGGCUCAGUGACUAAGAGCACUGACUGCUCUUCCAGAGGUCCUGAGUUCAAUUCCCAGCAACCACAUGGUGGCUCACAACCAUCUGUGAUGAGAUCUGAUGCCCUCUUCUGGUGUGUCUGAAGACAGCUACAGUAUAUUCAUAUACAUAAACUAAAUAAUUCUAAAAAAAAAAAUCUUAAAAAAAAAAAAAAGAGGUCCGGUCUUGAGAGAGAGAGGAAAGGAGCCAGCAGAAACCAAGAGGUGUCUGCCAGUCACAUGCUACUAUGAACAGACCUGAGCACCCUAUUGCCUGGCUGGCCAGAGCUCCUCCUAUAGACAGGAGCUGCCCAGAGCCCAGUAUGAGGAGGACUUGGCUCUGGCAGGUGCAAUUGGGGCUGGAAGCUGGGCCUUCUCUGCCUAGUGUCCCUACCCAGAAAGGCCCUUCAGAGUCAGGUUUCUCUGAGCCACUUCAAGGCCCAAUUCAGGCCUCAGCUCAUGUAACCUGAGGGCUAAAAUAGAACUGUGUUUUCACCCUGCUCACGGCCUGGAGAGACAGUGACGAGACCUUCGGGGCCCAGAUGGAAGAUACCAGGCAGGGCUAAGGCCUCACUUCGCCGUUCCUCACUGCAGGCUGCACCAACCGUAGCUCAACGCCCCUGGGAGCCCCUUACUUUCUACAUGCUCCUCCUUCUUCCUUGAGUUAUGGUGGAGGAAGGGAAGAGCUAUGACUCAAAAGCCCCUCCAUGCUCAGGAGAUCAGCCUCCACCCCCUGGCAUACUGGGGCUGGGUGGGGAAGGAUACCUUCCUUCUGCCCUGAGUCCUGCUUCUGCCCACUCACAAGAGAGCCAGCAUCCAGUCACACAGACCAGACUUGGGAGUCCUUGUGACCCUGGGCCAAUCAUAAACCUCUUUGGCAGCACUCAGGAGGCUGAGUCAGGAGGAUCACAAGUUUGAGGCCAGCCUGAGCUUCCCUGCCCUGCCCCUCCCCCAGUAAAACACUCUCUUAUUCAUUCCAUCACCUCUGAUGUGAAGACAAAGAUGGGAGUUGCCAUGACAACCGAUGACCAACACCCAGAACCAGGUUCAUCACACUGCAGCUCCUGGUAAACGCUGCUUGGGCUCUGACAAACCCCUGUGUUCCCAACCAGCUCCAGACCCUUCUGCCUUUCCUUUUCCUAGAUUGUGCUCCCUCGCCUUCUGGAUUCAUACUCCUAGGACACACAGCAUGGAGUCUGAAUACCACGCUCAAAUCAUGCCUCUGCUGUUCGCUGGCACAAGGCCCAGGUUCUGCACGUCUGUCAAGCGGGGAUAAUAAAGUGCUUGCUUCAAUGAGAGGCAGUAGGGUGGAGUGGGACAAAAGGACUCUCGAGUUAUAGAACACAGCUCACCAACAACUGUCAUUAACUGUGCCUCUAAGGCUUAAGUUUGAGGCCUGAACUCGCUGGAUCCUCUCUCCGAGCCUUGUCUGUAAGUAAAAGAGGAUCACUGCCACCCACUUCACAGCAACAACGCGGCUACACGCCCCACCUCCUCAGAUGGCCACCCAAGCACUCACUCUGUUGAACAGACUUGAAACCUCGGAGACAGGUGGCCACCAGCAAGAAGCCACAACCAGCAGGAGGUGCCCGGAGCUCUCCAGCCAGACUGCAUGCAGCCCCUAGGCAGAGCGGACCCAUGGCAGCAAACUGCAGGGGAUGGUGUCUUCGGCCAAGCAGCAACGCAGACAAGGCCAAAGUGAACAGUGGUGUGGUGGUGGUGGCUAGCUGUGCUAGGUCCAAGGGGACAGUGCUCAGGCCCACGUUGCCACACGCCAUGGAGGUCCCGAAGGUGAGGCUGAGUAACAGCACCCUGCGGUGGAUGCUAUGGGGCACGGGUCGCUGGGCCCCCCAGUGGCAUGCCACAGCGGCUGCCAGCAUGUGCAGGGCUGACAAUAACAGGGGCCGUCCGAAGCCAUGCACUGUGAAGAUCCACUUGUUGAGACUUGACAUGCUGGCUCCUGCCAACAGCCACACCAGUGCUGCCACAACCACUCUCGCCAGAGCAGGCUGCCCAAGGACUUGAGGUUUGUCAGGAGGCCACUUGGGACGGCCAUGCUCCUGGGCACUUCCAGCCACAGCAAUUGCUUCGGCUGAGGUCAUCCUGACUUCAUGGUGCUCCAGUGGGCAGCGGCACAUCCGCACCAGUAGGGCUGGGGCAGGAAGGCAGGCUUUUCCAGGGACUCGCUGAGCCAGGUCCUGAUUCCUCAGAUAGGAGAGGGCACUGCUUCAGAUGCUAGACCCUGAGCCAGCCGAUAAUUCUGGUUCCGUCAGAGAAGAACCGAGGUCGUGGCUGCUGAGAUGCCGGACUGGCUGGUGCCCACCCAGGCCUCGUAAGCCCUGGGCACCUCCCGCACCAGGGGAGGUCUUCUCCCUCCUCCUCGCCCGGAGCUCACGCGAUGGUUUUACACAGAAUCCGCUUGCCUUUUUCCAUCUUCGGUCCCCAGACUGUCAGGAUGAGGACACUGAUCCCGACCUCCUGCAUGUUUGGUGCUCAGGCCGUGACCAGGCCAGGCAGGGUCGAUAAUGUUCCGAGCGAGGGAACGGAGGUCGCAGUCCCCUCCUCCAGCCCCCCUUCGCCUCUUACUGUGCGGGGAAUAGACGCUGAUGGGCCGGCAGACGCAGAACCGCGAGCUCGGACUGGCUGCAGCUGCGCAGGCUGCUCUGACUGCGGCUCCGCUCCCCCGGUGGAUCUGGCAGCUUCGGGCACCGGGCUCUAGUCCCUCCCAAGCGCGCCCGCGGCUCCGCGCUCCAGGCCCCGCCCUCUCCGCCGCUAGCGAAGCAGCGCUCCACCCGGAAAGUUCGGCUCAGCCCGGGCCCCACCCACAAGGACCAGCCGGGGAGCCCGGGGACGUCUAGCCCCUCCCACAGCCUUUGCGCCUGGGCUUGCGCAGCUGCGGCAGAGUCUUUUAGUGGAGAGCGAGGGCUGUACCAGUCACCAACGGGAAUCGGGAUUGUCUGCAGCGCUAAGGGCCUUCCUUAAAGACCAGUAUCAGUGUUGACAACCCUGGGGCACCCUGCAGAGCCGUCCCAAAGUUGUCUGUCCUCAAGAAGCUGGGCGUUGAAAAGGGACAUACGACAUCACCUGAUCCCAGACCACAAACGUCUCCUUGAGAUCUUGGAAUUAAACGGAGCUAGACCACGUGGUCCCUUAAGGCUGCCUCAUCUUAUUUCCCCUCCAUUCCCCUCCAGAUCUUUUCUCCCCCUCUCAGGCCAGGGCGGCGCCCCCUCUGGGGCAGCAGAAGGGGAAAUGAAUCACCAAAGCUAACCACAGCUUCGGGAAGCAGGGUACCGCGGGUCGGCAUCCAUCCCGAGCUUGCCCACUUUGUGUACUGCUCCCUAGGCACUCUGAGGUGACUCACAGCUGGAUUUCAUGGGGCCCACCCAGCAGAAUCCUGGAUGGGUUUUGGGUUUCCCAUCCGAAAAAUAGAUGUCCUCUGAUUUCCAGUUAGGGUAAGCAGCUGAACCCCAGGGGCUGGUUCCAAACCCAACUCGCUCCACGUGAGCAAGAACAAGGUCCAUCCUGGGCUAGCCCCUUUGCGGUAAUUGGAUUUCUGGGGAAGCUCCCGCCCACCUGGACAAGCCUAACAAGCUGUCGCCUAACAAGUACUGGAUGACAACCUGCCUAGAGAAAUAAAAUGGCAAAGCGAGACUGUGUAGCUCGGCCCGCAGCGCCCUCUGGUGGUCGUGACUCCGCAUGGUUGCAAGCGUUCCAAAUCCCUUCACUAUGAAAUAAAGGUGAAGUAAGUCAGUUCCCACCGGAGACCUCUGUCCCAGAUGAACCAGGAAUCUACAUUGUCACACUUGCCUCCGAUGAGUUUGAUGCCUGCAGGAGCCCGUAGAUCGCUGCUGAGUAACCCAAGUUGAAGGGCAGCGAGUGUAGAUAGGAGACUUCCAGGAAGAGAACCAAAAUCUGGGGCAUUUAGUUUUUCCAAGAAGAGUUGUGGGAAGGAAACUGAAUCAACCCCUUUCCAUCCCCACACGCGAGCUGUAUUCCUCUGGAAUUUUUAAUCCAUUAUCUACUACGCUUCUUUCAAUUAAAAGGUAUUUCUUCCAACUUAAA